rnacentral:rRNA from 1 species
AUUGAACGCUGGCGGCAGGCCUAACACAUGCAAGUCGAGCGGAUGAAGGGAGCUUGCUCCUGGAUUCAGCGGCGGACGGGUGAGUAAUGCCUAGGAAUCUGCCUGGUAGUGGGGGAUAACGUCCGGAAACGGGCGCUAAUACCGCAUACGUCCUGAUGGAGAAAGUGGGGGAUCUUCGGACCUCACGCUAUCAGAUGAGCCUAGGUCGGAUUAGCUAGUUGGUGGGGUAAAGGCCUACCAAGGCGACGAUCCGUAACUGGUCUGAGAGGAUGAUCAGUCACACUGGAACUGAGAAACGGUCCAGACUCCUACGGGAGGCAGCAGUGGGGAAUAUUGGACAAGGGGCGAAAGCCUGAUCCAGCCAUGCCGCGUGUGUGAAGAAGGUCUUCGGAUUGUAAAGCACUUUAAGUUGGGAGGAAGGGCAGUAAGUUAAUACCUGGCUGUUUUGACGUUACCAACAGAAUAAGCACCGGCUAACUUCGUG